GAAACAUCUCUACAUCUUAGUUAUGCUCCUCCUCUCAGAAACAUCUCUCCAUCUUAGUUAUCCUCCUCCUCCUCUCAGAAACAUCUCUCCAUCUUAGUUAUCCUCCUCCUCCUCCUCUCAGAAACAUCUCUCCAUCUUAGUUAUCCUCCUCAUCCUCUCAGAACAUCUCUCCAUCUUAGUUAUCCUCCUCCUCCUCUCAGAAAUCCUUCCUGUUCCACGGGGUGUAUACUGGUUCCAGUCGUAGCGUUCCGUUCUCCCUGAGGAACCGUUCCUCUGCCGUGGCCCGGGUCCAGUUUGACCUGUCAGAACAUACUGACUUCACCAUCCACUUCCCUCCACACUCUGCAGGUACGAGCCAGGAGCCAGACGUGUUUGUGAUGGAUUUACAGGGGCAGCAGACUGCCCAGUGUUGCCUGGUGUUCUCCCCUAAACAAGUAAGGGCUCUGUCCUCCCGCCUCUGUUUUCAUUAUCCCUCAUCUAUACUCAUUUCCACCUAUUAAUCAUCAACACAUCAACCACCUUCCACAGUACUCCACCUACAUCUGUGUUUAUUAAUCAUCAACACAUCAACCACCUUCCACAGUACUCCACCUACAUCUGUGUUUAUUAAUCAUCAACACAUCUACCACCUUCCACAGUACUCCACCUACAUCUGUGUUUAUUAAUCAUCAACACAUCAACCACCUUCCACAGUACUCCACCUACAUCUGUGUUUAUUAAUCAUCAACACAUCAACCACCUUCCACAGUACUCCACCUACAUCUGUGUUUAUUAAUCAUCAACACAUCUACCACCUUCCACAGUACUCCACCUACAUCUGUGUUUAUUAAUCAUCAACACAUCAACCACCUUCCACAGUACUCCACCUACAUCUGUGUUUAUUAAUCAUCAACACAUCAACCACCUUCCACAGUACUCCACCUACAUCUGUGUUUAUAAUAGACAUGUUUUUCCCUGAACACAGAGACAUCAAGGAUAAUCUCUCCCCACCAUAAUCAUGAUCCUAACCUCACCAUUACACCAAACUGAACUGACCCAAACCCCAUCCCAUCUCUAUCAGUCGGUAUUUCCUGUGUUUGUCCUGCAGGUGGCUGCGUAUGACUUCAACCUGCCUGUGACUGUCAACGGUGUGGGCAUGCCUCCCUCCUCCUCUUCCUCCUCCCACGCCCCUCCCAGCUCCGUCCUCAAGUCCUCCUCUUCCAGGGACCAACACAUCGUCACCCCGCGCCCGCUCCCCAUCGCCAUGGAGACGCUAUCACGCAGGGUGCAGGCCACAGCCCUGCGAACCCUGCUGGAGAUGUCCCCAUCAAGUCUCCAGUUUGAUCUGGAGCCCUUUAUCUCAGUUACUACUACCUCACGAACUCAGGUAGGUACUGUCACCUCACCACUCCACCAACUACUAAAGCAGGUAGAUUCUGAAUGGCAGAUGUUUCUCGUGGCAGGCAGAGAGAAAGAGCUUGAUAUUCCCAACUGAGAGGCAGUUUGUGUGUUGUUGGGCUGAGCUACAACCAGCUGGAAGCUCCUCUCCUCUGUUGUCUCCAGACCGUAGAGCUGAGGAACGUGUCUGACAAGAGGCUGAGCUGGAGGCUUGACUGCAGCGCUGCAGUAACACCAGGAGGGGACAGUAGCACCAGCAGCAAUGAGGGGCUGUUCGCUAUCUGUCCUACUGCUGGGACCCUGGAGCCACUGCAGUGUGUGUCUGUCACUGUCUCCCUCUCUCCUGCGAGAGUCACACCAGGUUAACCCCUCUCUCACCUCACCCUCAGAGCUCACUUAAUAUAAUAACAACACUCCAAAGUUGAUCGUUUUUUAUUUAUUUAACUAGGCAAGUCAGUUAAGAGCAAAUUCUUAUUUACAAUGGCGGCCUAUCCCGGCCAAACCCGGACGACGCUGGGACAAUUGUGCCCCGCCCUAUGGGACUCCCAAUCACGGCCAGUUGUGAUACAGCCUGGAAUCAAACCAGGGUCUGUAGCGACGCCUCUAGCACUGAGAUGCAGUGCCUUAGACCACUGCGCCACUCGGAUUCAGGUUUUCCAACCUCAAAAGUGGUGUUAUGUUUAGAUGAGUCCUCCUGGUACUGUAUGAUUUAAUGUUGGUUCUGUAAAUGUUUUUUUGAUGUGUUUUGUUCUGCAUCUUCACUCUUUCUUCCAGUGACAGCAGGUCAGAUCGAGGUGUCCCUCCCUCUGUUUCUGUCUGAGGAGGGGCAGGAGGAGAGAGAGGGGGAGAAGGGGGAGGAGGGGGGAGUCCCUCACCCCUACAGGGUGCUGUCUCUCAGUGCCACCCCUCACCACCCCAGCAUCACCUUCCUCCCCCCUCGAGUCCUCCUCACCCCUGUCCCUCUGGACACACCCUCCACCACCACCCUCUUCCUGCUCCCCACCGGGUACCCCAGGUCUGUACCACCCAUCCACCUGCCUGUCAUAAUGGGCUUCCACCCACUAACUGACUGUUUAUUGUAGUACAGUAAUACCUAAUGAUCUCUAUGCUCUGAUAGGUCGCCUGUGUAUUUCUAACCUGAUCCAGCAGUAUUACAGCUCCAAAUAAACAAGACUAUUUGUACAGAUCUGCAUUUUCAUACAGUAAUAAUACAGAAUAGAG
rnacentral:lncRNA from 8 species